UUUAUGGAGAGUUUGAUCCUGGCUCAGAGUGAACGCUGGCGGCGUGCCUAAUACAUGCAAGUCGAACGAUGAAGCUUCUAGCUUGCUAGAAGUGGAUUAGUGGCGCACGGGUGAGUAAGGUAUAGUUAAUCUGCCCUACACAAGAGGACAACAGUUGGAAACGACUGCUAAUACUCUAUACUCCUGCUUAACACAAGUUGAGUAGGGAAAGUUUUUCGGUGUAGGAUGAGACUAUAUAGUAUCAGCUAGUUGGUAAGGUAAUGGCUUACCAAGGCUAUGACGCUUAACUGGUCUGAGAGGAUGAUCAGUCACACUGGAACUGAGACACGGUCCAGACUCCUACGGGAGGCAGCAGUAGGGAAUAUUGCGCAAUGGGGGAAACCCUGACGCAGCAACGCCGCGUGGAGGAUGACACUUUUCGGAGCGUAAACUCCUUUUCUUAGGGAAGAAUUCUGACGGUACCUAAGGAAUAAGCACCGGCUAACUCCGUGCCAGCAGCCGCGGUAAUACGGCGGGUGCAAGCGUUACUCGGAAUCACUGGGCGUAAAGGGCGCGUAGGCGGAUUAUCAAGUCUCUUGUGAA
rnacentral:rRNA from 1 species